GCCGGUCACAUGAAUACCACCCCUAUGCCUGAUAGUGCCUCCUCCCAAGCUCUAACUCUUCCAGUCCAAUCAGUGUUAGCUCAGAAAUACAGUAACUAGCAUACUGUAAAUAGAGAUGAAUGAAGAAAGCACAGGUUUAUUGUACCAGAUACAACUGCAACAAUGGAACUUCAAAGUUACAAUAAAGAAAAUAUAAUUAUC